rnacentral:rRNA from 1 species
UACGUAGGGACCGAGCGUUGUCCGGAAUCAUUGGGCGUAAAGAGCGUGUAGGCGGCUUGCUAAGUCUUGCGUGAAAUCUCGGGGCUCAACCCCGAGCGGUCGUGGGAAACUGGCAGGCUAGAGUGCGGGAGAGGAGAAUGGAAUUCCUGGUGUAGCGGUGAAAUGCGCAGAUAUCAGGAAGAACACCCGUGGCGAAGGCGGUUCUCUGGAACGCAACUGACGCUGAGAUGCGAAAGCGUGGGGAGCAAACAGG